rnacentral:rRNA from 1 species
CGCGUGAGUGAUGAAGGUUUUCGGAUCGUAAAACUCUGUUGUCAGGGAAGAACAAGUACCGGAGUAACUGCCGGUACCUUGACGGUACCUGACCAGAAAGCCACGGCUAACUACGUGCCAGCAGCCGCGGUAAUACGUAGGUGGCAAGCGUUGUCCGGAAUUAUUGGGCGUAAAGCGCGCGCAGGCGGUCUUUUAAGUCUGAUGUGAAAGCCCACGGCUCAACCGUGGAGGGUCAUUGGAAACUGGGGAACUUGAGUGCAGAAGAGAAGAGUGGAAUUCCACGUGUAGCGGUGAAAUGCGUAGAGAUGUGGAGGAACACCAGUGGCGAAGGCGACUCUUUGGUCUGUAACUGACGCUGAGGCGCGAAAGCGUGGGGAGCGAACAGGAUUAGAUACCCUGGUAGUCCACGCCGUAAACGAUGAGUGCUAAGUGUUAGAGGGUUUCCGCCCUUUAGUGCUGCAGCUAACGCAUUAAGCACUCCGCCUGGGGAGUACGGCCGCAAGGCUGAAACUCAAAGGAAUUGACGGGGGCCCGCACAAGCGGUGGAGCAUGUGGUUUAAUUCGAAGCAACGCGAAGAACCUUACCAGGUCUUGACAUCUCCUGACAAUCCUAGAGAUAGGACGUUCCCCUUCGGGGGACAGGAUGACAGGUGGUGCAUGGUUGUCGUCAGCUCGUGUCGUGAGAUGUUGGGUUAAAGUCCGCAACGAGCGCAACCCUUGA